AUGCUUUUUGACGGCCUCUCUUUUCUGCAUUUCAGAUUCGGAUCGGGUCCCAGCUCUUCUAUUCUUGAAGCACCCCUGCCCCCUAUACCUCUCAUCCUGCAGAGAAAUACUGCUUAUUUUCUAGGAGCUUUGGACCAUGGGAGUUGGGAAGGUGAUCUGGCUCAGGGCCAUUUUUCUUCCAAGGAUCAAAGAUUUCUACCCUGUUGGAAGAAGCCACUGUUGAAGUGUGAAAGGCUACUCUGCUUUCUGCGUCCAUUUAACCUUUGGCCUGCCCUAAAGAACCAGCCAAGUGUCAAUCAGGGCUGAUUGGGCACCUGUGCCUGGAAACAGGCCAGAGAAAUCACCUCUUCCAGGUCAUCAAACCAUCUCCAGAUGGCAAAGAACUUCUGAAGUUAUGAACUAACUUGCUUGUGAUGCAAAUUAGUGACCUAGGGUGAGAUGCUUCAUUAAUGCUUACUCUCCCGAGCCACCAAGGUGUCAGAAGUUGGACUGCUUUACUCUCACAUUUUUUUUUGCUCUGUAAUGUGCAUAAAAAUAAUUUAUAUUCAUAGAGAUGGUUCAAUAAAUUGCAUAUGGCUAGUUAAUAAACUAGUAAAGCAGAGAAGAAAAUUAGAUUUCAUUUAGAAGAAAACAAUGUUUAGCUUUCCCCAUGGAAAUAUGUGAAAAAGCUUUAGAAAAUUCUGUUAACAUUGAGG
rnacentral:lncRNA from 1 species